AUGUCCUUCCUGACGCAACUCCACAUUACAUGGAGAAAUGUGGCAGGGGUGAGAUUUGAACACGGAACCUCCUGCACUGAAACCAAGCGCAUUAACCACUUGGCCACCACCCCUGCCUCAGUAUGAUGUGGUAUUUUGGAAUAAUGAUUUUGCAUCAUCUGAUCGUGACUUUGUCUUUCUGUUAUGUAUCAAUACACAACAUAUACUAUUUAAAUUUGAUUUCUCGUAAUAUGUCACUUAGCAUAAUGCAGUGUGUCAACUAGCAUCCCAUAUACAGGAUUUGGCUAAUUAGAGCCUUCCAGUUUGAAUCUUACUGGAGUGACUAUGCAUUUCAAACCUAUGACUCGUAAUUACGCAUCUCGUCAUGUGUGGUCUAGCAUCUCGUCAUAGGUUCCUUAGUGUCUUGUCAUGUGUGGCCUAACAUCUCAACUUGACAUAUGCAUUUCAAACCUAUGACUCGUAAUUACACAUCUCGUAAUAUGUGGCCUAGCAUCUCGUCAUGUGUGGCCUAACAUCUCAACUUGACAUAUGCAUUUCAAACCUAUGACUCGUAAUUAUGCAUCUCAUCAUAGGUGGCUUCACAUCUUGUCAUGUGUAGCCUAGCAUCUCAACUUGACAUAUGCAUUUCAAACCUAUGACUCGUAAUUACGCAUCUCGUCAUAGGUGUCUUAGCAUCUUGUGGCCUAACAUCUCAACUUGACAUAUGCAGUUCAAACCUAUGACUCGUAAUUACGCAUCUCGUCAUGUGUGGUCUAGCAUCUCAUCAUAGGUUCCUUAGUGUCUUGUCAUGUGUGGCCUAACAUCUCAACUUGACAUAUGCAUUUCAAACCUAUGACUCGUAAUUACACAUCUCGUAAUAUGUGGCCUAGCAUCUCGUCAUGUGUGGCCUAACAUCUCAACUUGACAUAUGCAUUUCAAACCUAUGACUCGUAAUUAUGCAUCUCAUCAUAGGUGGCUUCACAUCUUGUCAUGUGUAGCCUAGCAUCUCAACUUGACAUAUGCAUUUCAAACCUAUGACUCGUAAUUACGCAUCUCGUCAUAGGUCGCUUUGCAUCUUGUCAUGUGUAGCCUAGCAUCUCAAAUUGACAUAUGAAGUUCAAACCUAUGACUCAUAAUUACGCAUCUCGUCAUAGGUGGCUUCGCAUCUUGUCAUGUGUGGCCUAACAUCUCAACUUGACAUAUGCAGUUCAAACCUAUGACUCGUAAUUACGCAUCUCAUCAUGUGUGGCCUAGCAUCCAGUCAUAGAUGGCUUCACAUCUCAUCAUGUGUGGCCUAGCAUCCCAUCAUAGGUCGCUUUGCAACUUGUCAUGUGUAGCCUAGCAUCUCAACUUGACAUAUGCAUUUCAAACGUAUGACUCGUAAUUACACAUCUUGUCAUGUGUAGCCUAGCAUCUCAACUUGACAUAUGCAUUUCAAACAUAUGACUUGUAAUUACACAUCUUGUCAUGUGUAGCCUAACAUCUCAACU